CGUGCAGGAUUGUGUGUAUUGGCAUUAUGCUCAUGUGCGUAGUAUGCCAAAAGAGUUUCCUGCUAGACUUAUCUGAAGAUGAUGGGCAGUUGAGUUCUCCUAAUUAUAAUUGGGUUUAUCAACAAUCAUCGUCCUCAUAUUU